rnacentral:misc_RNA from 1 species
GAUGAAGAACGUAGCGAAAUGCGAUAAGUAGUGUGAAUUGCAGAAUUCUGUGAAUCAUCGAAUCUUUGAACGCACAUUGCGCCUUCUAGUAUUCUGGGAGGCAUGCCUGUUUGAGCGUCAUUAAACCUCUCUCAAGUAUGAUUACUUGGAUGUGAAGGAAGAGUACCUUAAACUUAAGGAGUGUUCUCCUUUGAAAUUGAUUAGCAGAUGGUAAUGUUAUUAAAUCCCUGAUGUUGUAAGAAAUAACAGUGGUUUUGUAGACUAUUAUCUAGCUUUAAAUUAUAAUUUUUAUUAUGGUUGACCUCAAAUCAGGUAAGGAUACCCGCUGAACUUAAGCAUAUCAAUAAGCGGAGGA